UACGUAGGGUGCAAGCGUUUGUCCGGAAUUAUUGGGCGUAAAGAGCUCGUAGGCGGCUUGUCGCGUCGACUGUGAAAUCCCGCGGCUCAACUGCGGGUCUGCAGUCGAUACGGGCAGGCUAGAGUUCGGUAGGGGAGACUGGAAUUCCUGGUGUAGCGGUGAAAUUCGUAGAUAUCAAGCAGAACACCUGCGGCGAAGGCGGCCUUCUGGACGAUGACUGACGCUGAGACGCGAAAGCGUGGGGAGCAAACAGG
rnacentral:rRNA from 1 species